AACAAGAAGCAAUUGUCUCAAGUUACAAUGCGGGAGGUCUAGGUUGGAUAUUAGGAAAAACUAUUUCUUUAGGAGGGUGGCGAAGCACUGGAAUGGGUUACCUAAGGAGGUGGUGGAAUCUGCUCAACAGGAAUAUGUGCAUACAAGAGGGUGAGUGACUGGGAUGUAAUGAUACCGUGUCUAUUUGCUUACCCUGGAGUGCCCCAAGAGGCUGCAUGGAGUGCCCCAUUUCAUCUCUUGGAUGGGAGAAAAGUCAGAGGGCCCCUGGAUCUCACUGGAGAGAGUCCCUGGAGGGUGGCUCUGAGGCAGAGGGGGAGCUGAUGGCUGAACUUGUGCAAAAGUUUGGGGAAGCUUUAAAGACUAUGAUAGGCAUAGUUCAGGAAAUCACCACUAUGUCAUCUAUGUAGGCCACUGCAUAUUGAGGGUGGGGUUGCAACGCUUGGUCCAUGAGUUGUUGGAAUGUGGCAGCAGCCCCACAUAGACCAAAAGGCCUGGUAACUAAGUGGUACAAUCCAAAUGGGGUAGGGAAGGCUGUCUUCUCAUAGGAAGCCGGGGUCAAGGGAAUUUAUCAACACUCCUUUGUCAAGUCUAGCGUCGAGAUGAAAUUGGCAUUACCCAGUUGCUCGAGUAACUCGUCUACCCAUGGUAUGGGAUAAGCAUAGAAUCACAAGAUCGCAUUCACUUUUUGAAAGUCUAUGCAAAAUUGUAUGGUCCCAUCUGGCUUUGGGACCAGCACAAUGGGACUUCUCCACUCGCUCCGCAAUUUUUCUAUUACCCUCUUGUCCAGCAUAGCCUGGAGCUCCUUUUGGACCACAUCCCAUAUCUUCUUUGGUAGGGGCCGGUGAUUGUCACGGACCCUUUGACCUGGGUGGCGAUGUGGUGACUUACCAGUCUAGGCCACCCUGGGCAGGUCGAUAACUGGACUAGUUGUUGCAGCUCCCCCUGUAGCCUUGGGUACAGUUCUGCCCUGACCAUGAUGGGUGUUGAUGGGGUCACUGGCCAAUGGACCUAGCUCCAGUUCUGGGGGAUACAAGGUGAUCAGCAGCCCCUCCUGAGUUUUCCACUCCUUCAGGAGGUUCACAUGGUAAGUCCGGACUUCCUUCCUUCUUCCCAGUAGCCGUACUUCAUAGUCCACUGGCCCUACCCAUCGGACCACCUUGAAAGGGCCCUGCCAUUUAGCAAGCAGCUUGGACUUGGCUGAAGGUAGCAGGAACAGGACACUAGCCCUGCGUUCGAAAGUGCGCAGCCUUACCCCUCGGUUGUAUUGGUGGGCUUGGGUCUGUUGCACUUGCAGUAGAUUUGCCCGCGUGAACACUCCCAACUUCUGGAGUCGUUCGCAUAGUUAAAGUAUGAAGGGAAGUUAUCCCAGGACCAGGGAUCCCUGCUCUUCCCAAGUCUCCUUCAGGAGUCAAGGAUCCGCCGUGGCUGUCUCCAGUAAAGCAGCUUGAAAAGAUAUCUUUCAGUUACUGAGUCAGUUGGGAUUGUGUGUCUGGGGACUGUUUGAGUCUUUGUUGCCUGGAUCAUCCUUGAUCAGCCUCAAUGGAAAACCAGUUGAACAAUUUAUAACAUUCCUCA